rnacentral:rRNA from 1 species
UACGUAGGGUGCGAGCGUUAAUCGGAAUUACUGGGCGUAAAGCGUGCGCAGGCGGUUUUGUAAGCCAGAUGUGAAAUCCCCCGGGCUCAACCUGGGAAUGGCGAUGAAGACUGCGAGGCUAGAAUCUGGCAGAGGGGGGGUAGAAUUCCACGUGUAGCAGUGAAAUGCGUAGAGAUGUGGAGGAACACCGAUGGCGAAGGCAGCCCCCUGGGUCAAGAUUGACGCUCAUGCACGAAAGGCGUGGGGAGCAAACG